UCUUCAUUUCACUAUUAGAGAGUUUGCUUUGGUGACUGGUUUGAAUUGUGCUACAAAUAAGGAUGAAUUUUUGUUUGAUGAGGAGCGCCCUAAUAGAAUUAUUGAUCAAUAUUUUGAUGGUGAGAGUUUUGUACAGAAAAAAAAUUUAUAUGCUGUUGUUUCUGACAAAAUUUGGAGGAAUGAUAACGAUGAAGAUGCGUUAAAGUUUGCUAAUUUGUAUUUUAUUCACGUAUUCUUACUAUCGUCAGUUGAUACCGUAGCUAUUCCACACCUCCACUUUGAUUUGGUUGAGAGUGGUCACUACAGUGAUUAUCCGUGGGGAUCGGUUGCAUUUGAAGAAUUAGCUUGAAGUUUGCAUAAAAAGUUGAAGCCGAAAGGAAAGUUCUAUAUGCUUCUUAGAAUGCCACUGGCCAUUCAAAUUUGGUUGUACGAGUGUUGUUCAAACGUGCCUCGUAAUGUUAUUUCCAAGGUGGAUUCUCAAAUCCCUCGUAUUUUGAAUUGGAAGACAAAUUCUCCUCGUCCAAGAUAUGAAACUCUUAUGGGAAGUAUGUUUGAUGAUACAGAUGACAAGGUUGUUUUUAAGAAUAUCGAACCAACAAGAAAGGAGAUUUCAACUUUUCAUAUAUCGAAGAAGCUUGUUCCUGGAUCUGCUAGUCAUAAUGAAGAUGACAUUGAUUCGGAAGAUGAUUUGCAGGAUCCUCCACAAAGACAAAAUCAGUUUACCACAAAGAAAAAACAUCAUGGCGAUUUCUCAGCUUUACCUAUAAAGAAAAAAAUGAAGCCACAUCCUAAAGGUGUAGAUGAGCUGAUAUAAAAACGGAUUCCUCCACCCCGUGCUGCAAAGAUGUCUUUUGUCAGGACUCUAAUUCACAAGCCAAUUCAAACAAAAGUUACGCUAGGUGAAAAUAGGAAAGACAUAAACCGGCCUGACAGUAAAAAAUUCAUUCCGGUUUAGUCACCUGCUCCGUCUUCGUUUAGUUCUGAAGAUGAAGACGGUGUUGUCUCGAAGAAAGUCUUUGAUAAGUUUUGUGAAAAAGAUAAUUUUUCUUUAAGCUUUUGAUUAAUUUAUUUUUUCAUUUCUAAUUAUUUUUUUAAUAAUUCAGGUAUGGCAAGAGUUUAAUGAUGUCCGUGGCCUAGUGUUUUUCAGGUUUGAUCAGAUGAUGAAUGCAAUCAAUGAAAAUAAGAAACAAGCAAAAGGCAGCGAAUCUGAUCAGCCACCAACGGAUGAAAAUGUUAAGAGUACAUCACCCCAUCAAGCGACUACAAAAUUUGUUCAUGAGUUUAAUAAGAAUCCUGAAGUCACAUUGAUCACAAAAUCAAUUGACGAAAGUAUUGGUGAAGUACAAAUAUCAGAAUCUCAACUCACAUUUUCAGAUGACGUCCUUAAAAGCAUUGAUCUUGACUCCAUAACAAAAGCCAAUGUUGAAGUUGAAGAUGAGUUCAAGGUAUCUAUAAAACGUGCAUUGAUUGCUAUUUUUAAUUUGUUGAAAAAUGCAAUCUAACUAGAUCUUUAUAAAAUUUAUACAAAACAAAGAAGGUACGAUUGAGAUGAAUGUAAAUACACCAACGAGACAUGAGUCAGAGGUUAAUGAUGUGGAUAAUUCAAAGUUAGAUCAGGAAUAUAAGAGUGCAGUCCACAUUCCUGCGGGAGUAAAUAUUGAAAGCAAUACUAAUCAACAUUUGUCUGACUCUCAGAAUACUCUUCCUGAUGAGCUUCUUCCCAGUCUUAAUGUGUAUGUCAAUCUUGAACGAAGUAUAAUUCUACAUCCAUCUGCAAAUCAAGCACAACAAACGUCAAUGCAUGUUUUAAGGAUUAGGCGACCAUCUAGAUACAAUGAGUCACCAUUCACAAUGAAAUUUGGUUCAGCAGAUGUAAGCAUGGAAGAGCAAUGGAGAACAUUCGAUCAGAAGCAUCCCUUUAUAUCUCAUCCAGUUAAUGCGAUAGAAGACACUAAAGUCACCAAUAAGUUCAUGACGUGGCUUUCAUUGGAUCCUCUUAAAUAUCAUUCGAAGAGGAACAACAAAGAAGAACAUUAUUUGAAGGGAAAGGCAAAAAUACCAGUUAUCAACUUUGAAAUUUUAUCUGUUGAAGACAAGAAUUGGUUCUACGUUAUGGGUACUCCUAGCCAGACGUGAUCAGAUGAGCAAAUUGAUGUAUGCUUGUACUAUCUGUGAAAGAAGUCCAAGUAUGAUCCCAAUAUCUCAUAUAAGUUCAGCACUGUAGACUGCAAUUUCAUAAACAUUGUUACAACUGUAUUUGAUGUGUAUAAAUUGGAUGAUGCAACUCUUAAUGCUGGUGGAAAGAAAUAUCAUCUGAAUGAGUAUGUAAGUGGAUUCCACAUGCAUGCUACAGUGCCAUGGCAUACGGUUGAUCAUAUGUUCAUUCCUGUUCACGUAAAGGCAAAACAUCAUUGGGUUCUUGCAAUUAUAUCUUUCAAUCAUAGGUGUAUAUACACAUUUCUACUUAUUACACAUUCAGCCAUAUGUAUUAUUCAGAUUUCAAUUUGUAUUUUUUGAAAGAUACACAUUAUGGUUAAUACUAAUGUUCAUUUCAGAUUGUAUUUUCAUUAACGUCUAAUGUAAACAUAUUUAUUUUUCAAAAUAACAAUGGCUCCUAUUAUUCCAUAUUCAAACAUAUUUUUAGUGCAAAAAAUAUAUGUAGAUAUAUACAUAUAUAAUAUAUAAUUAAACAUUUGAACUAUAACAAAUUAACAAGUUCAACUUCAUAAAAGUGCAACAUCUGAACACUAUCAAAUUAUCAAUAUCAAUAAAAAGUUCAAAAUUCUAAAUGAAACAAUUAAAAAAAAGAAUAAUAAAGCAACUGAAUUUUCACUAAAAACGUGAUAAAAUAAAACAUGAUAAAAUGUAUCAUAUGUU